rnacentral:rRNA from 1 species
UACGGAGGGUGCAAGCGUUAAUCGGAAUUACUGGGCGUAAAGCGUGCGCAGGCGGUUUGUUAAGUCGGCUGUGAAAUCCCCGAGCUCAACUUGGGAAUUGCAGUGGAUACUGGCAGGCUGGAGUAUGGUAGAGGAAGGUGGAAUUCCCGGUGUAGCAGUGAAAUGCGUAGAGAUCGGGAGGAACACCAGUGGCGAAGGCGGCCUUCUGGACCAAUACUGACGCUCAUGCACGAAAGCGUGGGGAGCAAACAGG